GAGUCUAUGGCCACAUUGAAAGCACUUGUUCUUGUCUGAUAACCAAAGUUAAGCUAUGUUGGGCCUGGUCAGUACUUGGGAGGGUGACCACUUGGGAACAUCUGUGGCUAUAGGCU